GACCCGGUGGCCUAGAGGUAAGAGUGUCCGCCUCGGAUGCGGGAGGUCGAGGGUUCCAUUUCUGGCCGAGUUA